rnacentral:rRNA from 1 species
GAUGAACGCUGGCGGCGUGCUUAACACAUGCAAGUCGAGCGAGAAGUUUUGAAAAGAUUCUUCGGAUGAAAUUUAAAAUGGAAAGCGGCGGACGGGUGAGUAACGCGUAGGCAGCCUGCCCCAUACAAAGGGAUAGCAUUUGGAAACGAAUAUUAAUACCUUAUGAAACUUAACUAGUGCAUGCUAGGUAGGUCAAAGAUUUAUCGGUAUGGGAUGGGCCUGCGUCGGAUUAGCUAGUUGGGGAGGUAACGGCUCACCAAGGGGAGGAUCAGUAGCCGUGCUGCGAAGGUGAACGGCCACAUUGGACCUGAGGCACCGUCCAAGCUCCUUCGGGAGACAGCAGUGGGGAAUAUUGCACAAUCGGGGUAAGCCUAAUGCAGCAUCGCAGCGUGAACGAUGAAGGCCUUUGGGUCGUAAAGUUCUGUUAUAGGUGAUGAAAACUGACAGUAACCAAGGAGAAAGCCCCGGCUAACUCCGUG